rnacentral:rRNA from 1 species
AUACGGAGGAUGCAAGCGUUAUCCGGAUUUAUUGGGUUUAAAGGGUGCGUAGGCGGGACUGUAAGUCAGGGGUGAAAUACUGCAGCUUAACUGUAGCAUUGCCUUUGAAACUGCCGUUCUUGAGUCCAGUUGAGGUAAGCGGAAUGUGGUGUGUAGCGGUGAAAUGCAUAGAUAUACCACAGAACGCCGAUUGCGAAGGCAGCUUACUAAGCUGUUACUGACGCUGAGGCACGAAAGCGUGGGGAUCAAACAGGAUUAGAUACCCUGGUAGUCCACGCUGUAAACGAUGAUUACUGGUUGUUAGCGAUAUAUAGCUAGUGACUGAGCGAAAGCAUUAAGUAAUCCACCUGGGGAGUACGUCGGCAACGAUGAAACUUAAAGGAAUUGACGGGG